ACUCAAAUGAAUUGACGGGGACCCACACAAGCGGUGGAGCAUGGGGUUUAAUUCGAUGAUAAGCGAAGCACCUCACCCAGACUUGACAUGUUAGGAAUUCGACAGAAAUGUUGGAGUGCCGCAAGGAACCUAAACACAGGCGCUGCACGGUCGUCGUCAGCUCGUGUCUUGAGAUGUACUGUUAAGUCAGCUAACGAGCGCAACCCUUAUCCUAUGUUGCUUUUUCAUAGGAGACUGCCGCCUCCAAGGCGGAGGAAGGUAAGGAUGACGUCAGAUCAGCGUGGCCUUUAUGUCUGGGGCAACACCCGUGCUACAAUGGUCGGUACAAACGGAAGCCAACUCGCGAGAGUGCGCAAAUCCGAAAAAACCGAUCUCAGUUCGGAUUGAAGUCUGCAACUCGACUUCAUGAAGUUGGAAUCGCUAGUAACCGUGAAUCAGCUACGUCACGGUGAAUAUGUUCCUGGGUCUUGUACACACCGCCCGU
rnacentral:rRNA from 1 species